rfam:Salmo salar isolate Sally breed double haploid chromosome ssa20, whole genome shotgun sequence.
AAUGCACCAAUUUGAAUGUCGCUCUGGAUAAGAGCGUCUGCUAAAUGACGUAAA